rnacentral:rRNA from 1 species
AACGAACGCUGGCGGCAUGCCUAACACAUGCAAGUCGAACGAGACCUUCGGGUCUAGUGGCGCACGGGUGCGUAACGCGUGGGAACCUGCCCUUAGGUUCGGAAUAACUCCCCGAAAGGGGUGCUAAUACCGGAUAAUGUCUUCGGACCAAAGAUUUAUCGCCUUUGGAUGGGCCCGCGUUGGAUUAGCUAGUUGGUAUGGUAAAAGCCUACCAAGGCGACGAUCCAUAGCUGGUCUGAGAGGAUGAUCAGCCACACUGGGACUGAGACACGGCCCAGACUCCUACGGGAGGCAGCAGUGGGGAAUAGUGGACAAUGGGCGAAAGCCUGAUCCAGCAAUGCCGCGUGAGUGAUGAAGGCCUUAGGGUUGUAAAGCUCUUUUACCCGGGAUGAUAAUGACAGUACCGGGAGAAUAAGCUCCGGCUAACUCCGUG